rnacentral:tRNA from 1 species
CAUUAUGAAGCUAUGAUAAGCAUCAACCUUUUAAGUUGAAGACCAGGAGUUAAAUCUCCUCAUAAUGA